UUCCACUUCCAGCCUCGGGCUGGGAAGGCAGGGCAGGCUGCCGGUGGGAUGUCAGAGGGGAAAUACAAUCUAAGGGACGGACGGCAGCCAGACAGGCUCCUAGAACACUCCGCGCGUUAUAAAGACGCGUCUUUAUGAGGGAACACCGCUAUUCGGCUACACGACGGCACUCCCCGCUACCACGAGCCCGGCACAGCCCUGUGACGAGAGCAGGGGAGCCGCGGGCAGUGACGCAGCCGCUCCCGGCCGCAGCCCCCCGCCCUCCGCCGCUCCUUGGGCGCCCCCCGCCGGCGGCACUCCGCCCCGCUGCUCUGCGGCCACGGCCGGCAGCUCGAAGGCGUCGGGCUGUGCGCGCCGCUCUCCCCGCUCAGCGGCCCCGCCCGUGUGACAGAGGCGGGAGCCCCAGAGCGCACCUCCGUGCAGCCGCUUUCUCGGGGAAGUCGGUGAGAAUUACUCAGUCAGCUUUCGCCUUCCCUAUUUGCAGAGGAAGAGAGCAGUUCUGGUUUCCUGAGCGCUUUCAACUUCAGUGACAUUUUUUCCCAGCUCAGAGAAGACCUUAGGCGUAAGCUCAGGGGAGAGCUCAGACACGACCUUAAGGAGAUCGGGUAUCUGAGCCUCUGCUACGACCACGAGACUUUAAGUAAAGGAAACUUCCCACUUUAUUGCACUUCCCUCCGUGCUCUGACAAACGCAUGCUCGCAGCUACGCACCAAGUCCCGCACGCAACCGACGGAGCCUCCGCCCGCGUCCCGCCGGGUAUUCGGGGAACACGGCACCAACGGAGCGGCGGAUUUGAUGAAGAUAAAUUCAGAAGCCUCUCCCAGGCGCACGGAUGUGACAGUGACAGAGCUGCUGUAGCAUUGGCCCUGAGAGAGAUGCUGCUGCUGCAUCCUGUCGUCCCCCGAACAGACACGACCAUACACACAGAGCACUUCAGAAAGGAAGACUUCUCCAAAUACCUAGCCCACAUUGCCUAACAUCCAAACUGGCUGAGUCUACAGAAAGCAAAGGCUUUCCACAGCUUUACUUGGAUCUUACAAAUCUUUUAGUGGAACUACAGCAAAACCACAUAGCCCUGUGCUGGCACUGCUGGGAGGUCCAAGCUGAAAGAAAAGCACUGAAAACCUACUGGUGAAGCCCCUGAAGGAAACGCCUGCAGAUCUUCAGAGCAGAUUUGUGCCAUCCCAGAGGGGCUGCCCUGUGCCCAGGCUCCCUGUGCUGUGUCAGGCUGCGGGCUGUGACAGCACACUGCAGCUGCUCUCUGGAAGCAGGAGAGCAAUGGUACAUCAGAGGUUCCAGCUCAGCACUCUAGAAAAAAAGAAGCCCAGCAAGUCCUGCAGAAAUGGUUUUAGCAAGAUUUUCACAAAAUAUAUUUGUGAAGACAGGAGCCAGGUGUAGACAGGAGCUCACCACUUGGGUAACUGUGAGGAGGGAGCAGGGUCCAACCCUGCUCUGCACUUAGCUGAGUCAGGAUGAACACUGAGAUUUCUGUUCCCUAUCUUCUGCUCCAGCACUCAAACCAUACAUCUCCAUGGCAUGGAAAUGAUAAGGGCCUUGGAUGUCACCCUGUAGUUAUGUGCCCACACAGCUACGUGCCCUGCCUGUUUCCGCUGCUCACUGUCAUUACCUAAUAGUCCACUGGUACUACUGGAGCACCCUUUCCAGGACAGAGAGCUGCUAUAAAUCAGGACAGCCCUGCUACAAGUACCUGCUUCUUCCUCUGGGUGGCAUCCGAAUAUCUUAAGUGGGCCAAAGCCGGUUCAGGAUGAUAUUCCUGCUUGCCAACAGCGAUCAGCAUUGCGGUGUAAGUGCUGCUCUUGCUAAGCUCACAUAAACCAGUCAACGUUCAAAUAAAACACAGGAUUUAUAGCAGUUGGAAUCAGC
rnacentral:lncRNA from 1 species